UACGUAGGGUGCGAGCGUUAAUCGGAAUUACUGGGCGUAAAGCGCGCGCAGGCGGUCUUCCAAGUCAGUGGUGAAAGCCCGGAGCUCAACUCCGGAACUGCCAUUGAAACUGUGAGACUUGAGGAUGAGAGAGGUGAGUGGAAUUCCCAGUGUAGAGGUGAAAUUCGUAGAUAUUGGGAAGAACACCGGUGGCGAAGGCGGCUCACUGGCUCAUAUCUGACGCUCAGGCGCGACAGCGUGGGGAUCAAACAGG
rnacentral:rRNA from 1 species